GGCAGAUGAUGUCCUUAUCUCACGAUGGUCUGCAGAUGUCCCUGUGGGAAUGUCAACAAGCAAAAAGAAAAUUAAUAAGAACCCUACACUACAUCCCCUCACUUUUUGCCAUUUU
rnacentral:snoRNA from 1 species